ACUGCUCAGUAACACGUGGACAACGUGCCCUAAAGUGGAGCAUAAUCUCGGGAAACUGAGGAUAAUUCUCCAUAGACCAUGAGAUCUGGAAUGACUUAUGGUUCAAAGUUCCGGCGCUUUAGGAUCGGUCUGCGGCCUAUCAGGUAGUAGUGGGUGUAACGUACCCCCUAGCCAGUUACGGGUAUGGGCCUUGAGAGAGGGAGCCCAGAGUUGGAUUCUGAGACACGAAUCCAGGUCCUACGGGGCGCAGCAGUCGCGAAAACUUCACAAUGGGCGAAAGCCCGAUGAGGGAAUUCCUAGUGCUAGCACAUUUGUGUUAGCUUUUCCUUAGCGUAGAUAACUAGGGGAAUAAGGGCUGGGUAAGACGGGUGCCAGCCGCCGCGGUAAUACCCGCAGCCCGAGUGGUGGUCGAUUUUAUUGAGUCUAAAACGUUCGUAGCCGGUCUGAUAAAUCCCUGGGUAAAUCGGGUGGCUUAACCAUCCGAAUUCCGGGGAGACUGUCAGGCUUGGGAUCGGGAGAGGUAUGAGGUACUUCAGGGGUAGGGGUAAAAUCCUGUAAUCCUUGGAGGACCACCGGUGGCGAAGGCGUCAUACUAGAACGAAUCCGACGGUGAGGGACGAAGCCCUAGGUCGCAAACGGGAUUAGAUACCCCGGUAGUCUAGGGUGUAAACGCUGCAGACUAGGUGUUGGAGGCCCUACGGGGGCACCCAGUGCCCGAGAGAAGUUGUUAAGUCUGCUACUUGGGGAGUACGUCCGCAAGGAUGAAACUUAAAGGAAUUGGCGGGGGAGCAC
rnacentral:rRNA from 1 species